rnacentral:tRNA from 1 species
UGUAGCUCAGUGAUAAGAGCACUUGUCUAGCAUGCAAGAGGUCCUGGGUUCAAUCCUAAGGGAG